UGUAGGUGAAUAGUCUGGGAUGGCUAACCGUAGUGGGUGAGAGUCCUGUAGCUGAAAUGUGUGUUGCGUGGUGUGACUGAUUCCCGAGUAGGACGGGACUCGUGUAAUCCUGUGUGAAUCUGCCAGGACCACCUGGUAAGGCUAAAUACUUCCUGGUAACCGAUAGUGGAUAGUACCGUGAGGGAAUGGUGAAAAGUACCCCGGGAGGGGAGUGAAAUAGUACCUGAAACCAUGUGCUUACAAUCCGUCGGAGCCGGUCUGAUGCUGGUGACGGCGUGCCUUUUGAAGAAUGAGCCUGCGAGUUAGUGGUGCGUGGCGAGGUUAACCCGUGUGGGGAAGCCGUAGCGAAAGCGAGUCCGAACAGGGCGAUUGAGUCGCGUGUCCUAGACCCGAAGCGGAGUGAUCUACCCAUGGGCAGGUUGAAGCGCGGGUAAGACCGCGUGGAGGACCGAACCCACCAGGGUUGAAAACCUGGGGGAUGACCUGUGGGUAGGGGUGAAAGGCCAAUCAAACUCCGUGAUAGCUGGUUCUCUCCGAAAUGCAUUUAGGUGCAGCGUUGCGUGU
rnacentral:rRNA from 11 species